CGCUUCCGGCGGGCCUCGAGCAUUGCGGCUCAAGAUGGCGGCGCGGCCGGUUGCGGAAGGGGGCGAGCGGCUGCCGGUGUGAAGCAGCGAUGCUGCGCGCCCCGUGCCUAAGCAGGUGCGACGCCGGGCAGCAACCCCGAGGGAGGCUGAGCGAAAUCCUCCCUAAAGUUCCCUGGAGGAGCGGAGAGGGCGUUCUCCUGGGGACCGCACUGCGGGCUGCAGAGAAGUAAACUUAAGUAAACAACUUCGGCACGAAUGCGACGCACUGUAAAAUCUGGGCCCUCUAAUAUAAGAACAUACAUGGGAUCAAGGUGGUGUUAUAGCUAUCGUGAGCCACCCUUGGAAAACGCCAGUUAAGGUGCUGUGUCUUAAAAGAACACUGAUGUGCAUCUGAAGAAAAACAUACCAUUGUGUCCACAGGUUGGCAGGUUAUCCAGGAAAAUGCGCAAUCCAGAAAUGACCAGGUUAAUCUAAGAAAACAUAUGGUCCAAAGAUGGCCGGGUUAUUUGAAAACAUACAGUUCUGAAGACGAGCAGGUCAUUUAAGGGAACUAUAUAUUGAUGGAUCAUCCACAGUAUGGAUGUGUUUAAAAUGUAUGAAAACAGAUCUUCUGGGGGAAAGUCAAUUAAUCUUGCCUAUACAAGGGAUCAUAUAAUUUAACUGUGCGGAAAAUCAAAAUUCAUUAUAAGGAAUAGAUCAGUUGCAGCCACAUCCAAACUGGGUGUAUAAAACUAGCAAACCUCAGUUGAACUGUGUAGAUGCCGUGUUUCUUCAGUACUGGAUAUGCAGAACUGACCAAUAUGAUAGCCUGUGCAGCUACUUAUGUAUGUAUUUUCUUAUCAAGAAGGGAGCUGUAUCAUAAUACCUGUUAUAAGGGGGUUUUUUUGCUGUAUUUGGUCUGGUAACCCACUUUCCAAAUUCAGUCUGAGCGUUAAAUCUGAAUGAAAGAACUGGAAGCAAACAGAGUCAAAUCUAAAUCUGUCUUUAAUUCAGACUUUUGAAACUAAAGCUCUCAGAUUAUAUCCCAUCAGAAAACUUCUUCAGAAACAUUGGUACUAUUCAUAAUUGAAGUUAAAAUGAAUUCAACUCACAUGAAAAUCAGUGAGUUUUUCUAACUGGAAUUCCCCAUAGGAGCAAAAAUAAGGCUCACUAAAGGUAGUUAUUUGUGAAGUCAGAAUCUUCUUAUUUUAACCACACUCAAGAAAACAGUAUACUCAUACUGAAUUUGAAGUACAGCUACUUGCUUUAGAUUUUAAGUCAGCAUGAGAUACUUCAUGAUUACAAGGACUAUAAUAGCAGUUAAGGUCCAGGAGCACUUUUCAUACCAAAGUUGUUUCCUGUUACUGGUAACUGCCAAAAUGUCACUUCAGGCUGAAACUUUUUGGAGCUGUGAGGUGAAAGAUAAGCUGACAAUAAUAUCCUUCAGGAUUCAGAUUAAAAUUUUAAUUGCAAGAGACAAAAGAAGUCUCAUAAUAUUUCACACCCUCCAAAAUAAGUCUCAAAUCUUAAUUGCCAGUUUGUGACCUGAUUUGUACAACUGGCUUUUAUCUGUGUUUUUGCUACUUCUGCAUUAUGUAUUGUGUCUUACUAUAUACCAAGUCAAUAAAGUUCUUUGACUUUUCCA